rnacentral:sRNA from 1 species
UAAUCAACAACGAAAGAGGAGUUGCGCAAACAAUUACCCGAUAGCACCGUUUAAGACGGCAGCAAUUUUUAAUUACGAAUGA